rnacentral:SRP_RNA from 1 species
UAUGGGCUAUCGUUGGGUAGCGUGUUUGGCGAAUCAGGUCAGGUCUGGAAGGAAGCAGCCUUUGUUUAAACACCUAGGUCAGCGGUCGCCCUGUUCA